rnacentral:rRNA from 1 species
AGCAAAUAGAUACCCAGGUAGUCCACGCCCUAAACGAUGUCAACUGGUUGUUGGGUCUUCACUGACUCAGUAAACGAAAGCUAAACGCGUGAAGUUGACCGCCUGGGGAGUACGGCCGCAAGGUUAAAACUCAAAGGAAUUGACGGGGACCCGCACAAGCGGUGGAUGAUGUGGUUUAACUCGAUGCAACGCGAAAAACCUUACCCACCUUUGACAUGUACGGAAGACUGCAGAGACGCAGUUGUGCUCGAAAGAGAGCCGUAACACAGGUGUUGCAUGGCUGUCGUCAGCUCGUGUCGUGAGAUGUUGGGUUAAGUCCCGCAACGAGCGCAACCCUUGCCAUUAGUUGCUACGAAAGGGCACUCUAAUGGGACUGCCGGUGACAAACCGGAGGAAGGUGGGGAUGACGUCAAGUCCUCAUGGCCCUUAUAGGUGGGGCUACACACGUCAUACAAUGGCUGGUACAAAGGGUUGCCAACCCGCGAGGGGGAGCUAAUCCCAUAAAGCCAGUCGUAGUCCGGAUCGCAGUCUGCAACUCGACUGC